rnacentral:rRNA from 1 species
GACGAACGCUGGCGGCGUGCUUAACACAUGCAAGUCGAACGGAAAGGCCCUGCUUUUGUGGGGCGCUCGAGUGGGGAACGGGUGAGUAACACGCGAGUAACCUGUCCUUGACUGUGGGAUAACACUAGGAAACUGGGGCUAAUACCGCAUAGGAGAUCCUGCUGCAUGGGGGGGGAUGGAAAGAUUCGGCGGUUGGGGAUGGACUCGCGGCUUAUCAGCUUGUUGGUGGGGUAGUGGCUUACCAAGGUUUCGACGGGUAGCCGGCCUGAGAGGGUGACCGGCCACCAUAGGACUGAGAGACGGCCCAGUCUCCUACGGGAGGCAGUAGGGGGGAACAUUGCACAAUGGGCGGAAGCCUGAUGCAGCAACGCUGCGUGCGGGAUGACGGCCUUCGGGUUGUAAACCGCUUUCGCCGGUGACGUAGCGUGCGUGACGGUAAUGGGUAAGAAAGCACCGGCUAACUACGUG